UACAGAGGGUGCAAGCGUUGUUCGGAAUUACUGGGCGUAAAGCGCGUGUAGGCUGCUUGGAAAGUCGGAUGUGAAAGCCCUGGGCUUAACCCAGGAAGUGCAUUCGAAACUUCCAAGCUCGAGUCCUGGAGAGGGUGGCGGAAUUCUCGGUGUAGAGGUGAAAUUCGUAGAUAUCGAGAGGAACACCGGUGGCGAAGGCGGCUACCUGGACAGUGACUGACGCUGAGACGCGAAAGCGUGGGGAGCAAACAGG
rnacentral:rRNA from 1 species